AUCAAUUAAUAUUAUUCUUUUUGUCCUCAAGUCUUGUUUUCUUUAAUAUCAAUAGGAGUUGGAUAACACUGUACUGAGGUUGGGUGAUUUAAACCAAGAAGUUGGCAACUAGGCCUAUUACACAUGAGGCUGAGGAUGUUGGACUUAGGAAGACCCCACCAAAACAACGGCUCAGUGAGAGGUUAAGAAGAAUGGACUGGAUUUCCUCAGAAUGUGUUUGGAAUUUCCCAAACUAUUUUGAAUCGACACCAACAUGGUCAGUAUAACCAGACACUGAGAAAUACUUCUGCUCAGCAGUCAAGACUUCAAGGCACAUCCAAAGUGCAAACCUGCAAAGAACAAAGCCCACCAUUGUCCUGAUCCUCUUGUUCGCUUGUUCGCCUUUUGCAUGUUUUUGUUUUGGCUCAGCAGACCGGCCAAAACCAC